rnacentral:RNase_P_RNA from 1 species
UCAGAUGGUUGGAUGGCUGCAGUAAUUACUGAGGAAAGUCCGGGCUCCACAGAGAAACAGUGCCGGGUAACACCCGGCAAGGGAAACCUUAGGGAAAGUGCAACAGAAAGUAUACCGCCAUAAUAGGUAAGGGUGAAAAGGUGAGGUAAGAGCUCACCGAUUUAACGGUAACGUUGAAUGCUUGGUAAACCCCACUGGGAGCAAGACCAAAUAGGAGUAAAUGUAAUUUUUUUACAAAAGUAUUUCUCUGAACUUUACUCGGGUAGGUCGCUUGAGGCAUUUGGUAACAAUUGUCCUAGAUGAAUAGUCAUCACCAUCAAUGGUACAGAACCCGGCUUAUAGACUAUCUGGCACG